rnacentral:rRNA from 1 species
ACGUAGGGUACAAGCAUUAAUCGGAAUUAUUGGGCGUAAAGGGCGCGUAGGCGGAUCGAUAAGUCAGGUGUGAAAUACCAAAGCUCAACUUUGGUGCUGCAUUUGAAACUAUCGAUCUAGAGGUCUGACGGAGAAAGCGGAAUUCCACGUGUAGCGGUGAAAUGCGUAGAUACGUGGAGGAACACCGGUGGCGAAAGCGGCUUUCUAGUUUUUACCUGACGCUGAGGCGCGAGAGCAAGGGGAGCGAACAGGA